rnacentral:tRNA from 1 species
GGGGCAAUAGCUCAGUUGGAAGAGCGCGGCGUUCGCAAUGCCGAGGUCGGGGGUUCGAGACCCCCUUGCUCCACCA